ensembl:lncRNA
AGCCUUUGGCCCAGGACUACCUAGAAGAAGGCUGCCUGUGCUCAAAAGUGGUUGUGGAUCCCAUAGGUGCUAACAUCUGGAGGCUGUCAGUUCUAUUUAUUUUAACAUAUCAAGAGAAGUUAUAUUUCAUUUUACAGAAGAAAAUUAUAUCAGAAAGAUUUCUCUCACUAGAAACAAACAAUGAAGGAAGGGCUCACGAAUCUGGAAAGUUCAAAGUUGGUUGACCAGCUUACCUUUGUCAUGAUGGACCCACUUUACCAGUUGUUUUCGAUCUCUCCAUUCUGUCAAUUAUGGUGUACCCCUAACUCUGAAACUGGCUCCUUUAAUGGAUAUGAGAUAUACUUUCUUUUUCCUGUACAAGGAUACAAGCUUUUUGAUUGGUGCCACCCGCCCCCAGAGUGGGUCUUCACUCUUUGCCUUUCUAGCAACAAGAUACAUCCACAAGAUAACGUUGUAAAAUUGUUGAAAGGAUUCGAAGAGGGGCACCUUAAAGCUGUGUAGUCUUCUGCUUUUCUUCCUGCUUGCUGCCUAAGAAAUGAGUAAUAAUGGCUGGAGUUCCAGUAGCCACCAGGGACCAUGAAAUUACAAGUGGA